rnacentral:rRNA from 1 species
GACGAACGCUGGCGGCGUGCUUAACACAUGCAAGUCGAACGGAAAGGCCCUGCUUGCAGGGUACUCGAGUGGCGAACGGGUGAGUAACACGUGGGUGAUCUGCCCUGCACUUCGGGAUAAGCCUGGGAAACUGGGUCUAAUACCGGAUAGGAGCCAUUUUUAGUGUGAUGGUUGGAAGGUUUUUUCGGUGUAGGAUGAGCUCGCGGCCUAUCAGCUUGUUGGUGGGGUAAUGGCCUACCAAGGCGGCGACGGGUAGCCGGCCUGAGAGGGUGGACGGCCACAUUGGGACUGAGAUACGGCCCAGACUCCUAGGGAGGCAGCAGUGGGGAAUAUUGCACAAUGGGCGCAAGCCUGAUGCAGCGACGCCGCGUGGGGGAUGACGGCCUUCGGGUUGAAAACUCCUUUCGCUAGGGACGAAGCUUUUUGUGACGGUACCUAGAUAAGAAGCACCGGCUAACUACGUG